rnacentral:rRNA from 1 species
AUUGAACGCUGGCGGCAGGCCUAACACAUGCAAGUCGAGUGGUAGCACAGAGAGCUUGCUCUCGGGUGACGAGCGGCGGACGGGUGAGUAAUGUCUGGGAAACUGCCUGAUGGAGGGGGAUAACUACUGGAAACGGUAGCUAAUACCGCAUAACGUCGCAAGACCAAAGAGGGGGACCUUCGGGCCUCUUGCCAUCAGAUGUGCCCAGAUGGGAUUAGCUGGUAGGUGGGGUAACGGCUCACCUAGGCGACGAUCCCUAGCUGGUCUGAGAGGAUGACCAGCCACACUGAAACUGAGACACGGUCCAGACUCCUACGGGAGGCAGCAGUGGGGAAUAUUGCACAAUGGGCGCAAGCCUGAUGCAGCCAUGCCGCGUGUAUGAAGAAGGCCUUCGGGUUGUAAAGUACUUUCAGCGGGGAGGAAGGCGAUAAGGUUAAUAACCUUGUCGAUUGACGUUACCCGCAGAAGAAGCACCGGCUAACUCCGUGCCAGCAGCCGCCGGUAA